UUUUAAUUGAGAGUUUGAUCCUGGCUCAGGACGAACGCUGGCGGCGUGCCUAACACAUGCAAGUCGAGCGAUGAAA
rnacentral:rRNA from 1 species